AAAGUGAAUUAGCAAUAAAACUGUUUUGGACAGUAGCAGUGACGUGAUUUUGAAAAAUCACCAAAAAUAGUAUAAAUUGAAUCAGAGACUGAAUAAGAUAUCAAAUUAAAUCUUAAUGAUUCUAUUUUCAUAUAAAAGAAAUAUAGAAAGCAAAGGAGUUCUUUAUUUUGAGAUAUCUAUGUUUUUGUGAGACUGAUUCAGAAUGAUUAUGUG
rnacentral:lncRNA from 1 species